CCUACGGGUGGCAGCAGUGAGGAAUAUUGCACAAUGGGCGAAAGCCUGAUGCAGCAACGCCGCGUGAGUGAUGAAGGCCUUCGGGUCGUAAAGCUCUGUCCGCAAGGAAGAGAAGGACGGUACGUGAGGAGGAAGCCCCGGCGAACCACGUGCCAGCAGCCGCGGUAAUACGUAGGGGGCUAGCGUUAGCCGGAAUUACUGGGCGUAAAGGGUGCGUAGGUGGUUUCGUAAGUCCGAGGUGAAAGGCUACGGCUCAACCGUAGGCAGCCUUGGCAACGGGGGAACUUGAGUGCAGGAGCGGUGAGUGGACUUCCUUGUGUAGCGGUUACCUGCUUAGAUCUUAGGAGGCACCCCAGUUGCGAAGGCGGCUCUCUGGACUGUACCUGCCACUGAGGCACGAAAGCGUGUGUAGCACACAGGAUUAGAUACCCUUGUAGUC
rnacentral:rRNA from 1 species